GACGAACGCUGGCGGCGUGCUUAACACAUGCAAGUCGAACGCUGAAGCUUGGUGCUUGCACUGGGUGGAUGAGUGGCGAACGGGUGAGUAAUACGUGAGUAACCUGCCCUUGACUCUGGGAUAAGCCUGGGAAACUGGGUCUAAUACUGGAUACGACAUGCCACUGCAUGGUGGUGUGUGGAAAGGGUUUUACUGGUUUUGGAUGGGCUCACGGCCUAUCUGCUUGUUGGUGGGGUAAUGGCCUACCAAGGCGACGACGGGUAGCCGGCCUGAGAGGGUGACCGGCCACACUGGGACGGAGACACGGCCCAGACUCCUACGGGAGGCAGCAGUGGGGAAUAUUGCACGAUGGGCGGAAGCCUGAUGCAGCGACGCCGCGUGAGGGAUGACGGCCGUCGGGUUGUAAACCUCUUUCAGCACGGAAGAAGCGAGAGUGACGGUACGUGCAGAAGAAGCGCCGGCUAACUACGUG
rnacentral:rRNA from 1 species